GCGUGGACUCUAGUGGACCGAAUAAAUGCCCUCCGAAGGCAAAGGUCACACGUUCGAAUCGUGUCGGGUGCGCCA
rnacentral:tRNA from 1 species